rnacentral:rRNA from 1 species
AUUGAACGCUGGCGGCAUGCCUAACACAUGCAAGUCGAGCGAGAGGCGGACGGGUGAGUAAUGUAUGGGGACUGCCCGAUAGAGGGGGAUAACUACUGGAAACGGUAGCUAAUAACGCAUACUAUCGGAUAACCAAUAUUGGAUUAGCUAGUAGGGGAGGUAAUGGCUCACCUAGGCGAAGAUCCCUAGCUGGUCUGAGAGGAUGAUCAGCCACCCUGGGACUGAGACACGGCCCAGACUCCUACGGAGGCAGCAGUGGGGAAUAUUGCACAAUGGGCGCAAGCCUGAUGCAGCCAUGCCGCGUGAGUGAAGAAGGUUUUCGGAUCGUAAAACUCUGUUGUUAGAGAAGCGGUAUCUAACCAGAAAGCCACGGCUAACUACGUGCCAGCAGCCGCGGUAAUUC